AGAAUCAACGCUGGCGGCGUGCCUAACACAUGCAAGUCGCACGAGAAAGGGGAGCAAUCCCUGAGUAAAGUGGCGCACGGGUGAGUAACACGUGAAUCAUCUACCUCCGAGUGGGGAAUAACCUAGAGAAAUCUGGGCUAAUACCGCAUAACACUUACGAGUCAAAGCAGCAAUGCGCUUGGAGAGGAGUUCGCGGCCGAUUAGUUAGUUGGCGGGGUAAUGGCCCACCAAGACGAUGAUCGGUAU
rnacentral:rRNA from 1 species